GGAGAGAUGUCCGAGUGGCUGAAGGAGCACGCUUGGAAAGCGUGUGUGCCCAUAAAGCACCGAGGGUUCAAAUCCCUCUCUCUCCG
rnacentral:tRNA from 1 species